AGAUUGAACGCUGGCGGCAUGCCUUACACAUGCAAGUCGAACGCGAAAGCGGAGCAAUCCGCAAGUAGAGUGGCGAACGGGUGAGUAAUACAUCGGAACAUUUCCAGUAGCGGGGGAUAACCUGUCGAAAGAUAGGCUAAUACCGCAUACGACCUACGGGUGAAAGCGGAGGACUCUUGGGUAACUGAGGGCUUCGCACUAUUGGAGUGGCCGAUGUCGGAUUAGCUAGUUGGUGGGGUAAAAGCCCACCAAGGCUACGAUCCGUAGCUGGUCUGAGAGGACGAUCAGCCACACUGGAACUGAGACACGGUCCAGACUCCUACGGGAGGCAGCAGUGGGGAAUUUUGGACAAUGGGCGCAAGCCUGAUCCAGCCAUGCCGCGUGAGUGAAGAAGGCCUUGGUGUAAGCUCUUUCGGUGGGACGAAACGGUUCGAGCCAAUACCACGGACUAUGACGCACCGAAGAAGAAGCACGCUACACGU
rnacentral:rRNA from 1 species